CAGGGAGAGGCAGACCCCCAACCCUGGCCGUGGCCUCCCACCUCCCGGCGGGGCUCCCAUCCUCCCCACCCCCUGCAGUCAGCCAGCACACACACCCAGACUCAUCUCCGUGAGCGUCUGUCAACCGCCGGUCCCUGCCUCACAGCCUUGCCCUCCCGCCCUCUGACCACCGGCUGCACCGCCCUGACAUUCAAUACGUCUCCCACAGAACGGGCCAAAGAAACGACAUGCCAUCGUCUGCAAAAUUAUAAUUUAACGGUAUAAAGCUUCAAGUCACGUUUUCCAAAAACUA